rnacentral:rRNA from 1 species
CCUACGGUGGGCAGCAGUGGGGAAUAUUGCACAAUGGGGGAAACCCUGAUGCAGCGACGCCGCGUGAGUGAAGAAGUAAUUCGUUAUGUAAAGCUCUAUCAGCAGGGAAGAAAAUGACGGUACCUGAGUAAGAAGCCCCGGCUAACUACGUGCCAGCAGCCGCGGUAAUACGUAGGGGGCAAGCGUUAUCCGGAUUUACUGGGUGUAAAGGGAGCGUAGACGGCAGUGCAAGUCUGGAGUGAAAGGCGGGGGCUCAACCCCCGGACUGCUCUGGAAACUGGUAGACUUGAGUGCAGGAGAGGAGAGUGGAAUUCCAUGUGUAGCGGUGAAAUGCGUAGAUAUAUGGAGGAACACCGGUGGCGAAAGCGGCUCUCUGGCCUGUAACUGACACUGAGGCUCGAAAGCGUGGGGAGCAAACAGGAUUAGAUACCCGAGUAGUC